UUGAGGUCACCAUUACUAGGCUCAUACUUCAAAUGAGGAAAUGGCUGUUUGAAAGUGUUAAGUGCCUUGCUUAAGGGCUCAUGAGCAGGGAGGGGUAGAGCCCAUGUUCAAACCAAGGCUUGUUGGAUUCCAGAGCCUGGAUUCUUUUCAGUGUUUCCUGGAGCUCUUCAUUCUAGAAGUCUGGCCAGGUUAGGGCUCCUUUCAACUGUUUCUCGACCACUCUAAAGCCUCUCCACAUUUUUCUUCCUAGCUAUCUUUCACUAAAGAAACUCAGUCUUUUGUAAGAUAGAACCAAAAGUCUGCUGAGGUGGGCAGGGUUCAGGAAGCCAUUUGUUUUUGUAAGGAAAGAAGAAUAGGAUCAGAAGCAUUGAAUGAUCUUACCCUCUUCUCCUUUCUUCCUUAACCAGGACUGUGGUGGCUGGUGCUGCGGAAAGACAGAGGAAAGAUUUUCUUUCCCCUGAACCUCUGGAGAGCAGAAUCUGGUGACUGGGUUCUGGAGAGAAGCCACAGUACUUAUAGAGUUGUAAGGAAACAUGGAAGGUUUCUGGUUGAGCAGUGAGAGACAGCUCCCCAGAGGUCUGCAGGAUGAGAAGGAACAAGCCAAGGGAAGAAGUGAGGCAAGAACCAGUCAAGAUGGCCAUGGAAAGAAGUAGUAGCCCUGGUCCAAGUUCCUCACCACUCGCCAUCCUACCUGCUGGAUCCCACGGAGAUCAUCUUAUUGCAGGCUUUAAAAAAUACAAUUCCAAAAGGAAGAUUAUUUAAGCCCGAAUUGGAACAUACAAAGCUGUGCAGAGGUCUCACUGGAAGAGGGAAACCGGAAUGGAUGAACUAGUUGGAGGUGCUGCUUCCUCACCAUGGCUCUUCACCCUCAGGUCUGGAGUUCUGACACCCCACUUCUUCAAGUGAGAGGCUGGGCUGCCUCAUUGCCCAGCAGACCCAGGAGGAAAGUGAGGCACCUUCACAUGGACCCCCAUAGCUCAUAGGGAUCUCGUCCAUCUGACCAGGGCUACCCUCCCUUCAGAAUUCAACUUAGGUACCACUGCUUUGGGGAAGCCCUCUGUGAUUUAGACUGGGUUAUGUGCCUUUUUUGGGAGGUUGCUAAGCCAUCUUGAAAUUUCUCUAUUAAAGCACCUGUUCCAUUU